AUUGAACGCUGGCGGCAGGCCUAACACAUGCAAGUCGAACGGUAACAGGAAGCAGCUUGCUGCUUCGCUGACGAGUGGCGGACGGGUGAGUAAUGUCUGGGAAGCUGCCUGAUGGAGGGGGAUAACUACUGGAAACGGUAGCUAAUACCGCAUAAUGUCGCAAGACCAAAGAGGGGGACCUUCUGGCCUCUUGCCAUCGGAUGUGCCCAGAUGGGAUUAGCUUGUUGGUGGGGUAACGGCUCACCAAGGCGACGAUCCCUAGCUGGUCUGAGAGGAUGACCAGCCACACUGGAACUGAGACACGGUCCAGACUCCUACGGGAGGCAGCAGUGGGGAAUAUUGCACAAUGGGCGCAAGCCUGAUGCAGCCAUGCCGCGUGUAUGAAGAAGGCCUUCGGGUUGCAAAGUACUUUCAGCGGGGAGGAAGGGAGUAAAGUUAAUACCUUUGCUCAUUGACGUUACCCGCAGAAGAAGCACCGGCUAACUCCGUG
rnacentral:rRNA from 1 species